UACAGAGGUCUCAAGCGUUGUUCGGAUUCAUUGGGCGUAAAGGGUGCGUAGGCGGCGCGGUAAGUCGGGUGUGAAAUCUUGGAGCUUAACUCCGAAACUGCAUUCGAUACUGCCGUGCUUGAGGACUGGAGAGGAGACUGGAAUUUACGGUGUAGCGGUGAAAUGCGUAGAUAUCGUAAGGAAGACCAGUGGCGAAGGCGGGUCUCUGGACAGUUCCUGACGCUGAGGCACGAAGGCCAGGGGAG
rnacentral:rRNA from 1 species